rnacentral:rRNA from 1 species
AUUGAACGCUGGCGGCAUGCCUAACACAUGCAAGUCGAACGAGUGGCGGACGGGUGAGUAAUAUCUGGGAAACUGCCCGAUGGAGGGGGAUAACUACUGGAAACUGUAGCUAAUAACGCAUACUAUCGGAGCUGCCCAGAUGGGGUUAGCUAGUAGGUGGGGUAAAGGCUCACCCAGGCUACGAUCCCUAGCUGGUCUGAGAGGAUGACCAGCCAAACUGGAACUGAGAACCGGGCCGAACUCCUCCGGGAGGCAGCAGUGGGGAAUAUUGCACAAUGGGGGCAAGCCUGAUGCAGCCAUGCCGCGUGUAUGAAGAAGGCCUUCGGGUUGUAAAGUACUUUCAGCGGGGAGGCGUUACCCGCAGAAGAAGCACCGGCUAACUCCGUGCCAGCAGCCGCGGUAAUAC